UUUGUUGGGUAAAUCGUUAUC
rnacentral:piRNA from 1 species